rnacentral:rRNA from 1 species
UACGUAGGGUGCGAGCGUUAAUCGGAAUUACUGGGCGUAAAGCGUGCGCAGGCGGUUUUGUAAGCCAGAUGUGAAAUCCCCGGGCUUAACCUGGGAAUGGCAUUUGGGACUGCAAGGCUGGAGUGCGGCAGAGGAGACUGGAAUUCCUGGUGUAGCAGUGAAAUGCGUAGAUAUCAGGAGGAACACCGAUGGCGAAGGCAGGUCUCUGGGCUGACACUGACGCUCAUGCACGAAAGCGUGGGGAGCAAACAGGAUUAGAA